GACGAACGCUGGCGGCGUGCCUAAUACAUGCAAGUUGAGCGCUGAAGGUUGGUACUUGUACCAACUGGAUGAGCAGCGAACGGGUGAGUAACGCGUGGGGAAUCUGCCUUUGAGCGGGGGACAACAUUUGGAAACGAAUGCUAAUACCGCAUAAAAACUUUAAACACAAGUUUUAAGUUUGAAAGAUGCAAUUGCAUCACUCAAAGAUGAUCCCGCGUUGUAUUAGCUAGUUGGUGAGGUAAAGGCUCACCAAGGCGAUGAUACAUAGCCGACCUGAGAGGAUGAUCGGCCAGAUUGGGACUGUGACACGGCACAAACUCCUACGGGAGGCAGCAGUAGGGAUUCUUCGGCAAUGGACGAAAGUCUGACCGAGCAACGCCGCGUGAGUGAAGAAGGUUGUCGGAUCGUAAAACUCUGUUGGUAGAGAAGAACGUUGGUGAGAGUGGAAAGCUCAUCAAGUGACGGUAACUACCCAGAAAGGGACGGCUAACUACGUG
rnacentral:rRNA from 1 species